rnacentral:lncRNA from 1 species
CUGCUUUUCCAAUAAUCACCACGUUCAUCUUAAGGCCCAUACGAGUGUGAGCGCUGGAGCACGUUUCUUAUGAUGGAGGAGCCC